rnacentral:rRNA from 1 species
GACGAACGCUGGCGGCGUGCCUAAUACAUGCAAGUCGAGCGGACUUGAUGAGGAGCUUGCUCCUCUGAUGGUUAGCGGCGGACGGGUGAGUAACACGUAGGCAACCUGCCUGCAAGCCUGGGAUAACUGCGGGAAACCGCAGCUAAUACCGGAUACGCAGUUGAGAUGCAUGUCUCGAUUGGGAAAGGCGGAGCAAUCUGUCGCUUGUAGAUGGGCCUGCGGCGCAUUAGCUCGUUGGUGAGGUAACGGCUCACCAGGGCGACGAUGCGUAGCCGACCGGAGAGGGUGAUCGGCCACACUGGGACUGAGACACGGCCCAGACUCCUACGGGAGGCAGCAGUAGGGAAUCUUCCGCAAUGGACGCAAGUCUGACGGAGCAACGCCGCGUGAGUGAGGAAGGCCUUCGGGUCGUAAAGCUCUGUUGCCAGGGAAGAAUGUCGAGGAGAGUAACUGCUCUUCGAAUGACGGUACCUGAGAAGAAAGCCCCGGCUAACUACGUGCCAGCAGCCGCCGUAAAAC